rnacentral:tRNA from 1 species
UGGGUUAAACAAAAGCUUCUAACUUUAGUUUGGAGGUUCAAUUCCUCCUAACUCUU